rnacentral:misc_RNA from 1 species
CAAAAUAGGAACUCAGGAAAUCCAUUAGUUCACUUACAAGGCUUAUGAUUAUACAGCAGGCAGGGAUAAUUUCAUAUGAAAUGAAGAUAGAGUAUAUUUCCUUUUGGAGACAGCAACUCCCAAAGAACAAGGACCACUCAACCACUCAACCACUAUACCAACAUAAAUAAAUAAAGCUUGGAUUAACAUAGAAAUUGUUUUACACAUUUAACCUGGGAUCGACAUACUUUUCCAAAUCUACUGAAAAAUUAAGAUAUUAGAGAGAUAUUAUGAGGACUUUAUGAUCAACCCUCGUAUGUAACAGGAUUAUCAUACCAGAGCAACAAGCGCACCUACGCAGAAUAAAUAUGACGAGCAUGGCAGAGGAAUUAGAACCAUUUCCUAUGAGCUGGAAAUAUUAACUAUUAUAAAAUAGAUAUUGAUUUUUGCCUAAACUUGAAAAAUCAGUCCAACAUAACAGAAGAGUAUUUAAAGUGACAAGUGAACAGAUUGGAAUAACAAAAUAUCCUAAUAACACAAAGUUUUAUAAUUCUCUGAUUUGACUGUCAGGAAGCACACGUUUCCCUGGCAAUGGCUACAUACCCAGGAUCUAUUAGGCUUAAUAGCCAAAGGCGAUAUGGAUCUAUAUCAGCCUCAAUAGGGUAUAGACAAGGCUGGCCACAUACUUGUGUGAAAUGUAUCUCCAUAAUGAACAUCAUAUUGGGAAUAUUAGCAAUUGCAAUCAAUGUAUCUGCAAGUGAAUUAAAAGACAAGCAUUUUCUCAACAGUGCUACAGGCCUAUGGGGCGGAGCUGUCAUUAUAUUCACAGGGGUCAUAGGAAUACUCGCCUCAAAACAUAAAAAUGACACUUUCAUAGGUGUCUGGCUGUUGUUCAAUGCCAUCUUGAUACUUGUCUCCCUGUGUAUAAUAGGAAUCCACAUCAAGGGUGUCAUUCAAGUACGAAGCAGCAUGAUACUCAAUAUUAAUAACAAAAACACCAGCAACAAUAGCCACAUAGAUCCCAUUCAGGGGAACACUACAUCGGUUUCAACUGAACACACAUCGGCACAUGUAGUAGGAAAACUCAUUCUUAAUUCCAUUAUGGCUGGCUUAGGAAUUGUAGCAUUCAUUCUUGGGACAGUAUCUGUGAUUUUGUCAGGGAAAAUUGUUUGUUGUAUAGAGAAGCACAAUAAUACAUUCGUCCCAAAAUCGAGCUCAUGUCAGGUGUCAGGUUCCUGUUCAAGUCCAGCAUAAUCAGCAUGGAUUGUAAUAACUCAAAGGAACUUCUAAUGAAAAGCAAAACGCAAAGAGUAGUGUAAUAAGCCAAUGUAACUUUCAGGCCAAUAACAUAUCACUUAUUCAAAGUGGGAAAUUCUGACCAAAAGAUGUCAUUUGAAGCUUUGCUAAGCCUGUGAAUAUUUUGAAAAUAUCUAAGACAUAUUUUAUUGAUAG